rnacentral:rRNA from 1 species
UACAGAGGGUGCGAGCGUUGUUCGGAAUUAUUGGGCGUAAAGCGCGUGUAGGCGGCUUUGCAAGUCGGGUGUGAAAGCCCUCGGCUCAACCGAGGAAGUGCGCCCGAAACUGCAGAGCUUGAGUACCGGAGAGGAUGGCGGAAUUCCCCAAGUAGAGGUGAAAUUCGUAGAUAUGGGGAGGAACACCGGUGGCGAAGGCGGCCAUCUGGACGGAUACUGACGCUGAGGAGCGAAAGCGUGGGGAGCGAACAGG